AGUGAACGCUGGCGGCAGGCCUAACACAUGCAAGUCGAGCGGCAGCGCGGGGGCAACCCUGGCGGCGAGCGGCGGACGGGUGAGGAAUGCAUCGGAAUCUACCUCGUUGUGGGGGAUAAC
rnacentral:rRNA from 1 species